rnacentral:rRNA from 1 species
CGUUCUGUAAGCCUGCGAAGGUGUGCUGUGAGGCAUGCUGGAGGUAUCAGAAGUGCGAAUGCUGACAUAAGUAACGAUAAAGCGGGUGAAAAGCCCGCUCGCCGGAAGACCAAGGGUUCCUGUCCAACGUUAAUCGGGGCAGGGUGAGUCGACCCCUAAGGCGAGGCCGAAAGGCGUAGUCGAUGGGAAACAGGUUAAUAUUCCUGUACUUGGUGUUACUGCGAAGGGGGGACGGAGAAGGCUAUGUUGGCCGGGCGACGGUUGUCCCGGUUUAAGCGUGUAGGCUGGUUUUCCAGGCAAAUCCGGAAAAUCAAGGCUGAGGCGUGAUGACGAGGCACUACGGUGCUGAAGCAACAAAUGCCCUG